ensembl:lncRNA
CGGGCCUUCCCCGCUCCGAACGCACCGCGCGGCGCUCCGGCAGCCGGGACGUCUUCCUCGCUGCCGAUGCUGCUGUGGGAAGGUUGCACAGGAAGGCGUCCGGGCGUGUUUGUGUAAUACCUCCAGAGAAGGAGACUCGACAGCCUCUCCAGGCGGGCUGUGCCACUGCUCUGUCACCCCCACAGAAAAGUUUUCCUUCCCGUCGUAUGGAACUUGCUGUCUGUGCCCACUGCUCCUUGUUUUGUCGCUGGGCGUCGCCUAAAAGAGCCCCAUCCUGUUGAUUUCUGCACUCCAGUUAUUUCUGAGUUCCUCCUCACUCUUCUCUCCGUGUUUUUGCUUUCCACCCACAAUUCCACAGCAGGAUGGCAGUUUGCUGAGCGGCACCUGGCAGCCCUCAGCCACCAAUGGAGAAGGUCAGGGGGGGUUUCUGCCACGUGCCCACUGAGGUGUCCCCCUCCCACACUGCCUUAGGGACAAAACCGGCACUUGGAAACACCCAUGGGAUCACUGCAGCUUCUGAUUGCUGAGGAAAUCUUGUUUUCUUCACAUCAGUCUCCAAACAAGACGUGAACAUGGAGUACUCCGAGGCUUAGCAGAACAUAAUGGAAUCUCAGCAUCAUGAUAUGAGACUUGGGACGUGAUAUGCGGAAUGACAAUCCGAAAGAAGUUGACUGCAGCGAGGUUCAAAACUUGUUUAAGCAAAAAGCUUUUCCCAAAUUAAUACAUAUCUCAGUUAUCUUUCAAACCACAGCAAAAAGUCUGUAAGAACUCCUUGACAAUGCUGAGACACAUUGCAGAAGGCUACUCAACAUGUUUUCAAUGUGUUUUUUCCUGUAAGCCAGGGUUUUGUUCAGAUAGAGAGAUGGACAUGUGCUUCAACAAGUGAGCAAAGCAGAGCUGAAAUAACAGAACCCAUAAGAAGGGCACAGCACUACAGUAUUGGAUCUGGUACGUCUCUUCUGACAGUGCUACUACUUCCUCCUCCACCUCCAUCAGCAGAUGCUGAUAACAGCACAAGUGCAAUCGCUUUCCACGUGGACAACAGUCAGUAAAAUGGGUCUCCUUAGGAGCAGUGAACUCAACAUUUUAACCUGGAUUUUUUAAAUCACCGUUAAACAGAAAAAUACGAAGACCACAGAAGAAAAGCAGCACUUGGUUAUGUAAUGGUUGUGGCGUGACAAAACUUGACAAGUGGGAUGCUGACUUUGAAUGGCUCAUUUGCUAUCAGUGACGGCCCCAGUGUGAUGCUGAAGUUCCCCAGAUUGACAGUACUUGUGGAGGAAGCAACCUGACUACCCCACUACCAGGUUUGCAUGGCCUCUGCUCAAAGCUGAUAAAGACAAAACGUUAAAAAUGAAAUCUACAAAAAGCCUAAUGUCCCUGUACGUUAGGAGCUCCAUACAGGAGGUACCCUUCAAAGAUUAAGCGUACCGCAUCGCUGUGGGCAAAAGCCAGAACAUCACGAGUGCACAUUUCUUUUCUGUAUGCAGUGAUCUCUUGAGAAAUUCCUUGAGAAGGAAGGCUUCUGGAGGCCUUUGGUUUGAGAAGCACACGGUGAAUUUGAGAUAGAAAAGACAUUCAACUUCCACGUUCCAUAUAAACAGAUUCAUAGCAGAGCAGCCCCAGGAGAUCAGGAUUCGACACAGUUGUAGCCUCUAAAUGAAGGUUCCACAGCACGAGUGCUGUGCUAUGGCUGCACGUGUUUUAUUUAGUUUAGUGUAGUGACCCUCCAGUAAUCAGUGCAGCAUUUAAACUGAGAGCUGUGGUUCCCACUAUUUUUUCAAAGCUUGUAAUUGCAAACACUUCAAAAUGAUUUAUGGGUACCAUUCCUUUAUCCACCUCCCUCACUUUAUUUUUCCCCAUUGGCAGACACGUGUAACUUUUUUCUGACUUUACUAGAUUUCAUUAGCUGAAAAUCUCUUCUUACAGGGCAAAUGCUUAAUAAUACCAGGUAUUCUAAAAUAAAGUGAGCAGCUGUCCUGUAUCUUAUUUGCAGAUGAAUAAAGGAAUAUUUCUACUUAGCCUGUUCAUAAAUGCAAUAAAAACCUUUAAAAGUCAAUUAAGACAGUCCAUAAAAAUUGAAGAGGGAAGGCUUUAAAAGUCCACUGAUAGGUUUUCAAUUAGGACUAAUACUUUAAAGCUUCCUUAACACCUUCCAUCAAAUUAUUUCAUUUUGCUUUAUGAACACUUCUGGAGCAAGGCAUUACAUCCUCCCAAGGUUUGAGGAGAUCAACAGUUUAAGCUCCGGACCCUUGGAAAAGUCCAGCAGUGUGGUUAGACAAUGUUUGUAAAAGCCAUUUAGCCCCAGGGGAGCAAAAACCAACUUAGAGCAGAAGUAAGUGAAGAUUCCAGAAUCUUUAUGUUUCUAUUUAAUGUUAAGGUAACUGCCAUCUAUCGCACAAAAAUGUAAAAUUAGACAUAAUUGUGAAUGAAACCAAUGGUGGAUGGGAACACAGCAAGCACAGUCCCUUUUUCAACAUCACUUCAGUGUUCUGCGUCCUUUCAUUGGCUUCUCACAGAAUUCCAGCUAAAAUCAAUAGGACCUCUUUUUUUCACCUUCACGUGGCAAGUCGUCUGAGUGCCAAGUCACCUAAGAGACUCGGAGCUCCCAGAACAGCUCCACACAUCAGAUUCAUCAUCUUACCUACAAGAGGUGCGUGUGUAGAUUUCUCCAGCAGCGUGGUAACAGAUUAUGAUUAAUCAAAAUGGAACUUCUAUGAAGUACCCCGAGCAACGCUCCCAAACUUCAGUUGCGUGCCACCAUUUUGCAAAUAAAAGGUUCUGCAGAGCAGCUGAAAGAAAAUUGCAUUGAGGGAUGCCCCCAAAUUGAUUUCCAUUGAUCAAAAUACAGCAAAUGGAUACUUAGUAUUCAAUGAGUGCUGAAUGGUGGUAUAGGAAUUUAUCAGAACCAGCUUUUCUGAAGUUCUGCUUUGUCCAGUAUGCUUCUUAAGAUUGUGUACAUCACUGCAAUAUCUGGAUACUUUCAAAUGGUGCACUAAAUUAUGACUGAUAGCUGCUCAUUCGUGUCACCAAAAGGCAGUAGUAUUGUGUUGGAGUUGUGUUGGUUGUUGUUCUGUUGCCAUGCUGUACAUGGCAAGAGAUGAAAUGGUUGAAGAAACGCUCCUUCCAGUUAAGAUUAUGGAUGAUUAUCACUGUUCCAGUUUGUUACACAGCCUUGUGUUGCCCUCGCACCCUUACAGUUGCACCAAAAACACGCUGGCACUGGCUUUGACACUUGUGUUCUUCAUCCCAGAUCCAAAUCCAGGCUCUUAAGCACCUGGAAGAUAAGCUUGGUACUUUCUUAUAAGUUUGUUAGAUGGUGAAGGCCUCAUACAAAAACAGACAAAGAGAUGACUGAAGUUAGUAAGUGGCUAAUGGAACCUCAAAGAAGGACAACAGAAAAGUAUUCUUUUUGUAAAUGCUGCUGUGUGAGACUGUCAGAAAUGCAUAACGAGGUUCUCUAAAGCCACCUCAAUGUCACGACCAACUGCAAAUAAACAACUAAAGAGAAAACUACAUUUUUCAAAAUGCUUUUAUCUCACUAUCUGUCGUUGUCUGCCUUGCUUGAGUUUAGCUUUUGUUGCCUGCUCUUUAUCCGUGAGCUAAUCCUAUCUAACCAUUGAGUCAACUUGAUAGUCGAAGUUACAUGAAAUAGGCAACCAAAUAAAGUAAAACUGGAGAUUCAAAAAGGAGUAAAAAUAAUAAAAAUGAAUAAAUCUGCCACGAGUCUAAAAGCUAGAUUACAUGAAUUUUUGCUCAUCUCAGAAGUGCAGGAAAUUAUUUUCCUUGAUUUCUGCAAGAUCAAGU